ensembl:snoRNA
UUGCUUUUGUAGCUCAUAAGUGUGAUGAUUGAGUUUGCAUGUGCAUGUGUGAGAUGUGCCACCCUCAAACUUUGUUACAACGUGGGCACAUUAUCCAUGUGACA